rnacentral:misc_RNA from 1 species
UAACCUACUCUUGGUAUUCAGUACUGCUUAGCAGCUGACAGUGAUUAUUAUUUAUUUCUUUGCCACCGUCUUUUCAUUAAAUUAUUAGGCUGCUGCAACACCAGCAGAGAAGAGUAUGGGAGACACAGUGUAGUAUUCAGUCUGCUCCAAAGCUCCAGAGUUACAGUUUUCCCUGUAUUCAUCACUCAGGAAUUGCUGGCAUCUGCACUCUAAACUGCAGAAGGCUUUAUCACCUCUG